GGCCUAUUAGUGUAGUGGUUGAGCACUCCGGAUUUUGAGGAGUAAGCAGGAUUUCAUACAAUUCUGCGUUACCUUCGAAAAAUUCCGGCAACCCCGGUUCGAAUCCGGGAUAGACCU